GACGAACGCUGGCGGCGUGCCUAAUACAUGCAAGUAGAACGAGUUGCGAACGGGUGAUUAACGCGUGGUAACCUGCCUCAUAGCGUGGGAUACCUAUUGGAAACGUUAGCUAAUACCGCUUCUGAUCUGGACCUCCGUUGUAUUAGCUAGUUGGGGAGGGAAAGGCUCACCAAGGCGACGAUACAUAGCCGACCUGAGAGGUGGAUCGGCCACACUGGGACUGAGACACGGUCCAGACUCCUACGGGAGGCAGCAGUGGGGAAUAUUGCACAAUGGGCGCAAGCCUGAUGCAGCCAUGCCGCGUGUAUGAAGAAGGCCUUCGGGUUGUAAAGUACUUUCAGCGGGGAGGCGUUACCCGCAGAAUAAGCACCGGCUAACUCCGUGCCAGCAGCCGCGGUAAUUC
rnacentral:rRNA from 1 species